AGAUUGGCUGUGAUUAUCUAAUCAUAUGAUGUAUAAAAUGAAGGCAUUUUCCUCUCAGUUAUAAGCUUUCAGUUUGAACUUUCAGAAGAUAAUGAGGAAGUUUUCCCUUGGCGCCUACACAAGCAAGUAGAAUAACAUGUCAAAAUUGUUAUUAUCCAAGAUAGCAAUUUUUUUAUAUAUUUAGAGCUAUAGGACACAGAUGAGGCUGCCAUUGCUUUUAACUGGGGAGUAGCGGGGAGUCAAAGAAAGCCAUAAGGAAACACUGACCUGGGCAGAGCUUGGAAGAACACGGUGCAGUUCACCAGUGGAUCUGUGAAUGUUGGACAUUGCUUACCAACCUGGACAAUGACAAAGUGAAAAAAGAAAGAAGGAAAGAGAAGAAGGUGAGAAAGAAGAAGAAAGAGAAGAAGAGGAAGAGGAAGAAGGAAGGAAGGAA
rnacentral:lncRNA from 1 species